rnacentral:rRNA from 1 species
CAGGCCUAACACAUGCAAGUCGAACGGUAACAGGAAGCAGCUUGCUGUUUCGCUGACGAGUGGCGGACGGGUGAGUAAUGUCUGGGAAACUGCCUGAUGGAGGGGGAUAACUACUGGAAACGGUAGCUAAUACCGCAUAACGUCGCAAGACCAAAGAGGGGGACCUUCGGGCCUCUUGCCAUCGGAUGUGCCCAGAUGGGAUUAGCUAGUAGGUGGGGUAACGGCUCACCUAGGCGACGAUCCCUAGCUGGUCUGAGAGGAUGACCAGCCACACUGGAACUGAGACACGGUCCANACUCCUACGGGAGGCAGCAGUGGGGAAUAUUGCACAAUGGGCGCAAGCCUGAU